ensembl:snRNA U6 U6 spliceosomal RNA
GUGCUUGCUUUGGCCGCAUGUUUACUAAAAUUGGAAGGAGACAGAGAAGAUCAGCAUGGCCCUGUGCAAGGAUGAUAAGCAAAUCUGUGAAGCAUUCCAUAUUUUG